CUCAUUACGGGACCGCCUGCAGCCUCCAGCUGCUCUCUGCUUCCCCAGGGUUAAUAGAUUCCUCUUGCCCCGGUGCCACGUCCCUGCCCCAGCCGAGCUCUCUCCUCGCAGACACAGCGCGGCCUCCCCCCCGCCCGCCGGCUCGGUGUGAGGCGAGCCCAGCGCCCUGCGGCCGGGCCGCAGCGGCUGCUCCCGAAAAGGUGCGGUGCUCAAAAGAGCCCUGGCCGCGGUGCUUUGCUGCGGUGCAGCACAGGCUGAGACACGAGUGGCAGCGCAGAAACAGCUGCUGCUUUCAGAGAGCAAAUCACAGAAACGCUGCCCGUGCUGGAGAGGGACAGCCUGCCCCUCGGCUGCCGCUCAGCCCCUCGGAGCGCAGCCAGCCCGGAGUGGGACAUUUCGGGCCCCUCGCUACAGCACUGCCACUGAGGUGCUGCAGCGUGUCCAGAGAAGGGCAGUCCAUCUGGUGAAGGGUCCAGAGGACAAGUCCAAUGAGGAGUGGCUGAGGGAGCUGGGAUUAUUUAGUCUGGAGAAAAGGAGGCUCAGGAGAGAUUUUAUCACUCUACAAGUGCCUGAAAGGAGGGUGUAGCCAGGUGGAGGAUGGUUUCUUUUCCCAAGCAGCAAGGGAUAUGACAAGACGAAUGCACUGUGUUGUGCCGGAGGAGGUUUACUUGGAUCUUAGGAAAAAAUUAUUUACAAAAAAGAUGGUCAGGCAUUGGAACAGGCUGUCCGGGCACCAGGAAACUGUUCAGUGGUGGACUUGGCAGUGCUGGGUUAGCAGGUUCAAUGAGCUAAGAAGCCUUUUCCAACCUAAACCAUUCUGUAAUUCCAUGAGACAGCCCCUGCAGGUCUCUGCCUGGGUUUGGGUGGAGCAGGUCCUCACAGUCAGCAUGAGCUCCAUCCCCCAGCAGCCUCAUCUGGAAUCCAGCUCAUGACAUUAGGGGCACAAAAGGUGUUGCUUUUCUUAGAUCUCCCCAUUCCUUGGUGUCUUUGUGCUGCAAAGGGCUGUGGGACACCAUGGAGCUCCCAGACAGGCAGCUGCUACUGAGUGGAAACUGCUUUGUCUCCCUUGAUGAAAACCCUGGAGCCCUCCAAGAAGCUCACGAGGGUCGAGGAGGUGCUCUCUGGCAUCUCUGGAAGCUAUUAUGGACCACUUUUCAGCCACUUUUUUCACUAAGAAUCACAAUGCCUGUGAGCCCAGGCAUGGGCUUGAGUCUCCUACAGGAAAAGCCUUCAUGCGUGGGAGCCUCUCCUUGCUAGACAUAUUCACUUAUACAUCUCUGGGAUUUCUGUCUGCUACGAGAGCUGAAGAGUGGGAGUCAGACUUCCAGGAGUUUCCUUUUGUUCCUGCCACCGUCUCCAAGGAGCAAGCUUCUAUAACCAUCUCCACAGUCUACACAUACCCCAGGUGGCCAAAGUUCAUAGCCACCAUCACCUUUCUUUCCCUUUUUGUGACACCUUCUUUUAGGCAGAUUCCUCUUUUUAUCAUAUAGAAGUCACCUCCUGCCUGAUUUUAGGCACAUCUUCUGCAAAAGCUUCCAGUUCUCUACUUGGUCCCUUCCAGACAGAUGGGGAUGUACCAGUUUGCGGCUAAAACAACUUGCUUGACCCUGGGACACCAGGGUGAAACUAUAAAAUUACAGCUUUAGUGCAAGUUCUUACUGCCUCUGGCCAUAUACUGUUUCUUUGGUCAUUGAUGAACUAAUUUAACGAUGGUGAACUAAUUUAACAGGUUCUCCAUCUGUAAAACACAUGUACUAAUACAUGCAUAAACUCUUAUCCCUAAGACUGCUAGUCCCAAAUGAGUCCUGAGAAGCUGAAUGUAUUUGAAGAGGGCUUAUUGACACUCAGAUGAAGCAUCUUAUUGACCUGUAAAAUAGCUUCUGGAUUAGACGACACAAAUCCUAAACCAAACAUCAUGGCAGUACAACAACUGGGAUGCUAACAUAAUCAAAACAAUUCAAGAACAACAACAUCAACACAACUCUAGGAAUUAUUCUGUUCUGAAUCAAAAGGAAAAGGUACAUCCUUUCCCCUUUCACAGCUCUGGGAUAAUAUUCCAGAUUUUCUCAGAUUUCAGAUUUAAAAAAAACCCUUAAAGUAUUGCACUUAAAUCUGCUUUUUUUGCUUUACAAAAGUAGAUAUCGGUGAGCAGUGUAAGCAAAUGGCUUAAUGCUUAUUACUUUCUAAAAUCAUUUAAGCAUAUUUAAAAAAUUUUAAACUAACUGAAGAAGGGAAACAGAGGUAUGCUUUGUCUUCUAUAUUUGCCAUGUCACUGCCACUGAAGCUGCCAUCUGUGGAACAGAAGCAAUAGCAGCAAUACUGGGAUGGAUUGGAAAGAAAUGGGUAAACACACCUGCAAAGCAUUUAAUCAUACUCCUCUGAUAUUUUUGGGACUUCAGAUGGUAAUUUCAUUUGAAGCAGGACCAGGUCCAAGUAGAAAAUUAAAAUUUUAAACUGGAAGACUGAUGAGGCUGCACCCACACACCUGUAUAAAGAGAGCUCCUCACAGAAAGCCAUAUAAAUGUGUUUUCAAUUGCAGUAGAAAGGUAUGAUUGUAAACCAAACUCAGUUGUAUUUACUCCAAGCAAGUCCAGGAGGAAGAGUAAGACGGAAUGGUUGCUAUCCCAAUCUUCUAUAGGCAUAGACAUGAAACAAAGCUGCACAUUUACCUUUUAUGGCCCACUUCUAGAGAUGAGGGUGUUCAGGAAGAUUGGAAUGGUGCCUGUAGCCUCCCUGCUGCAGCUGUGGGUGCUGUGUGACUCGGGAAUGGCAUAAAUGACAUGGCCUUCAAGGAACAGGAGCACAAAGCAGCACCAAAGCAACAGCACUGAGAGAAAGCUGCUGGAACCAGAGACCCAGCUGUCAGCAAAAGUAAUGCCAAGACUGCACAAUUUUGAUGCUGUCCAAACCAGUUAACUGCUCUAUGCAACCUU